rnacentral:rRNA from 1 species
UUGCCAGCCGCCGCGGUAAUACGGAGGAUGCAAGCGUUAUCCGGAAUCAUUGGGCGUAAAGCGUCCGCAGGUGGUAGUUCAAGUCGAUUGUCAAAGGCAGUAGCUCAACUACUGACAGGCAGUGGAAACUGAACAACUAGAGUCAGGUAGGGGUAGAGGGAAUUCCCGGUGUAGCGGUGAAAUGCGUAGAGAUCGGAAAGAACACCAGUGGCGAAAGCGCUCUGCUGGACCAUGACUGACACUGAGGGACGAAAGCUAGGGGAGCGAAUGGGAUUAGAUACCCCAGUAGUCCUAGCCGUAAACGAUGGAGACUAGGUGUGGCAAGUAUCGACCCUUGCCGUGCCGGAGCUAACGCGUUAAGCUUCCCGCCUGGGGAGUACGGUCGCAAGAUUAAAACUCAAAUGAAUUGGCGG